rnacentral:Y_RNA from 1 species
GGUUUGUCUAAAGGUAGUGAAUUAUUACCUCAACUCAUUGUUCACAGCCAGUUACAAAUCAAAUUUCUUCAAUUCUUUCCCUUCUUUUCACUACUGCAUUUGACUAGCCUUUU